GACGAACGCUGGCGGCGUGCUUAACACAUGCAAGUCGAAGAUAGUGGCGAACGGGUGAGUAAUACGUAGUAACCUGGCUCAUAGCGGGGGAUAACUAUUGGAAACGAUAGCUAAUACCGCAUUCUGUGAGAUGGACCUGCGUUGUAUUAGCUAGUUGGUGAGGUAAAGGCUCACCAAGGCGACGAUCCAUAGCCGGGCUGAGAGGGUGAUCGGCCACACUGGAACUGAGACACGGUCCAGACUCCUACGGGAGGCAGCAGUGGGGAAUAUUGGACAAUGGGCGAAAGCCUGAUCCAGCCAUGCCGCGUGUGUGAAGAAGGUCUUCGGAUUGUAAAGCACUUUAAGUUGGGAGGCGUUACCAACAGAAGAAGCACCGGCUAACUUCGUGCCAGCAGCCGCGGUAAUUC
rnacentral:rRNA from 1 species